AUGAAUAUUUUCAGGGAUCAUUUCUAUAGCUUGUUUAGGGGAGUAUCUCUGAUCAUGUAGAGCACCGGAAACCACAAGGAGCUUCCAAAGCAUCUUCUCUUGUGUGUAAAGCAGGUUCUAGGUGUUGCUUUUGCAACUGCCUUUUACCAUGCUCAUUCUUUUCUUCCCUUAAAAGAGUGAGAGGGAGAGGAUUCAGUCUGAGUGGU